AGCUUUUCGAAUCCGUGCUGAGAUUUCGUCAGACAUCAAUCCAUUAGGGCUGAUCAAACUUCCAAGAUAAGUGAAAUU
rnacentral:pre_miRNA from 1 species